GUCAGAUCUCCAUUUUAGCGAGAUCAGCAUGGUCUGAUUUCCAAGUGUAGGUUGGAAGAGCUGAGAGGUAAAGUCAGUGAGGUCAGUUGAUUGGCCGUUAUAACAAGAAGAGUAAUGAGAAAGUUUAUGAAGAGGAGAAAACUGGAGAUGAGCGAUUGGGGCAGGAAGUCAAGCAGAGUGAACCAUGAGGUCUUUACACCAAGGACAAUGCCCCACUUCAGGAAGUGUGGGAGGAAGGCCUUUCUUUUGUGAUAUGGGAGAAGGAAAACUGAGAAACCGGAGUUGUGCUCACAGUGAAUAUCUCAGCACACCAUGUCCCAGGACUCCAGGCUGCCAUUCUCACCUGCCAUAUGCAAAGGUUUCACCCCAAAGUCACACAAAUUGCCUGGCUAAAGAGAAAUGGAUACUUCAAGACCUGUGAGGCACUUGGCCCCACCAAGAACCCAGAUGGCACAUUCAUCCAAGACAAUCAUAUCCUGGUCAACACUUCAGAGUGAAAGGAUAAAAAACAGUUCACCUGCCAAGUGUGGCAGAAUAACCAGGCUCUGGUCCAGGCCAGUAGGCAGCUGAGCAGGCCCAAAGAAGAGCAAGCGAGUCUGGGAGAGCAGGACCGGAAUAACCAAGCAGGUACCCCUGCUCCUUUGCUGGAACUUUGCUCCUUCCUGCUCCUUUGCUGGAACUUUCCGCCAUCUGUGUCCUUAGGAGGAGCCUUUCUUCCAGGAGGACUGGACACAGAGGAGGACCUGCCAUGAUGCCUGUAGCUGCUCCCUCAGCUUCUCUUGCCUCAUCAGCCUUCUGAGACCUGAACAGCACUGGCCAUCCCUCCCUGUCUCCUGCAGCCACCAGAGGAAGGGAGCACCUAGACUGGAAAGGUCAACAGUGAGAGGGAGAUUCUCAUGCCUUACCCAGGAAUGAAUUUUCUGUGGCAAGUCUGACCUCAGAGUCCAUGACACUGACCAGGAAACCCAGCAGAGGCAGGAUAGGCUCCAACCCUGAGGAAAAUAGAUGCCUGCAUUUCUGAUGGCUCCUUCCUGGCUCAUCAAGGAAAGCCCAUUGCUCUGCCGUGAAAACCAAGCUCUGCCAUGAAACCUCUACAGCCCCAUCAUUAAAACCGAGUUAAAUGAAACAUUUAUGGCCAAUAAACGUAUGAAGAAAUGGCCAACCUCAUUAGUAAUCAGGAAAAGCCACGGCAAA